rnacentral:rRNA from 1 species
UACAGAGAGUGCAAGCGUUAAUCGGAAUUACUGGGCGUAAAGCGCACGUAGGUGGAUAUUUAAGUCGAAUGUGAAAGCCCUGGGCUUAACCCGGGAAUUGCAUCCGAUACUGGGUAUCUUAGAGUAUGGUAGAGGGAAGUGGAAUUUCCGGUGUAGCGGUGAAAUGCGUAGAUAUCGGAAAGAACACCAGUGGCGAAGGCGGCUUCCUGGACCAAUACUGACACUGAGGUGCGAAAGCGUGGGUAGCAAACAGG